rnacentral:rRNA from 1 species
AACGAACGCUGGCGGCGCGUCUUAAGCAUGCAAGUCGAAUGGCAAGAUUGGUGCUUGCACUGAUCCUAGAAUGGCGGACUGGUGAGUAACGCGUGGGUGACGUACCCUUUGGACGGGGAUAGCUGCUAGAAAUAGCAGAUAAUACCGGAUAAGGUGGCCUGUGUCAGAGGCAGGUCAGGAAAGGAACAUUUGUUCCGCCGAAGGAACGGCUCGCGAGCUAUUAGCUAGUUGGUGAGGUAACGGCCCACCAAGGCGAUGAUAGCUACCCGGCCUAAGAGGGUGAACGGGCACAUUGGGACUGAGAUACGGCCCAGACUCCUACGGGAGGCAGCAGCUAAGAAUAUUCCGCAAUGGACGAAAGUCUGACGGAGCGACGCCGCGUGGAUGAUGAAGGUCGGAAGAUUGUAAAAUCCUUUUAUGACUGAAGAAUAAGUAUGGUGAGAGAAACGCCGUAUGG